UACGUAGGGAGCAAGCGUUGUCCGGAAUCAUUGGGCGUAAAGCGCGCGUAGGCGGCCUCGUAAGUCCGUUGUGAAAGUCAAAGGCUCAACCUUUGAAAGCCGAUGGAUACUGUGAGGCUAGAGUCCGGAAGAGGCGAGUGGAAUUCCUGGUGUAGCGGUGGAAAUGCGCAGAUAUCAGGAGGAACACCAGUAGCGAAGGCAGCUCGCUGGGACGUUACUGACACUGAGGCGCGAAAGCGUGGGGGAGCGAACAGGA
rnacentral:rRNA from 1 species